CCUCACUUUGGGCUCUGCUUCUAGACCCUGACUUAAGAUACAAAGGAAGGAGAAAUGAACCAUGAACAAUUCCAGAGAUUUUGAGACAUGGCAAUUGGACUUUCUGUCAGGGUAAACAUCACAGGUUGGACCAUAUAUUAUGGGAGCACCUUUUGCAAGGAUGAAAUACUCCGUCUGGAUGGAUGGGAAUAAUUCAGCUGGGGAUUUGGAGGCCCUAAAGGGCAGUGUAGCCAAUGGACAGGUGAUCCCAGGUACCUGCAUGAGUGGAGGCAGGCCCUUCCUGCAGACCUGCACUGAACUAUAACGUGGGCAUACAGGGCUGGCCUGAGUGAUCAAUAGAAUACUGUAGACGCAACAACAUGUGGCUUCUGAGGAAGCAUUGUAGCCUCUUGGUUUGUUCAUGCUGUGGAAGCCAGCUGCCAUGUCAAGAGGAUGCUCAAGCAGCCAUGUGGAAAGGCCCGUAUGACACAGCAAGAGAGUGGCC
rnacentral:lncRNA from 1 species